ACACGACUACAUUAGAUACCCCUGUAGUCCCAGCCCUAAACGAUGCGCGUUAGGUGUAUCGGUGACCACGAGUCACCGAGGUGCCGAAGGGAAACCGUGAAACGUGCCGCCUGGGAAGUACGGUCGCAAGGCUGAAACUUAAAGGAAUUGGCGGGGAGCACCACAACGGGUGGAGCCUGCGGUUCAAUUGGACUCAACGCCGGGAGGCUCACCGGAUAAGACAGCGGAAUGAUUGCCGGGCUGAAGACCCUGCAUGACCAGCUG
rnacentral:rRNA from 1 species